rnacentral:tRNA from 1 species
UCCCUGGUGGCUCAGAUGGUAAAGCGUCUGCCUACAAUGCAGGAGACCUGGGUUUGAUCCCUGGGUGGGGAA